UUUCGUUGACUGGGCCGUUUA
rnacentral:siRNA from 1 species